UUAUUACUUCCUCCGUCCUAAAAUUCUUGUUUUAAAUUUGUCCAAAUAUGGAUGUAUCUACUUACGUUUUAUUGUUAGAUAUAUCCGUAUCUAGACAAAUCUAAGACCAGAAUUUUGAGAUGGAAGGAGUAUUUC
rfam:Triticum aestivum genome assembly, contig: Triticum_aestivum_CS42_TGACv1_scaffold_320958_4BL